AACCGGCGAGGCGGUGCGACAGGGAUGCGGGCACGCAGCUCGCGCCCCGGCAGCCGCAGACCAGCCCGGAGCGGGAAGGGGCGGUGCGCGGCCUCUGCAGAGGGUGGGCGGAGUUCCCGCGGUGGCCCCGCCCCUGGCUGGGGGCGCCCGAAGCAACCCGGCCUCGCUUGUGGGGAGCCCUACACCCGCGGCCAGUCCGCCCCUGCGGGGGAAAAUGCCGGAGUGAAACUGGAGCGAUUGCCGCCCCGCCACGUGACGGUCCCGCAUCGGCGACCUGGAAGCGGGUGAGCUGCCGCCGCCUCCAAUCUCUCCCGGCGCAGGGGGCCGGGAUGCGGCCAUGCGGCGGCGCGGGAGGCCCGAGAGCGGGGCUCACCCUCCUCAGACUCUGCGGCGGAGAGCCGAGUGAUGAAUAAAUGAGUAACCACAUCAAUAUUUAAGUGUUCACUCGGAGCCUUGGGGCCAGUGUGUCACGGGUUGGGGGAAAUUACAGGCCCUGGUGGGGGGUUAAAUAACUACUUCCACCCAUUAUUAAGUGCCUACUGUGUGCCAGGGCCUAAGUAUUAACGUAUACUUGGUUUAUUAUUGAUAAUAACGAUGUUUAGUAAUUAUAGAUGCUGAAUUUCAGCCAACUCUGGUCAGUGCGCUUUUAUAUGCAUUACCUCAUUUUAUCCUCAGAGCAACUCUGUGGGAUGGGACCAUCUGGUUGCAGGAAAACAAGGUCAGGGCUCCCACUGAUUCUACAUUAUGGUGAGUCAUAUAAUUGCUUCAUUAUAUAUUACAAUGUAAUGAUAAGAGAAAUAAAGUGCACAGUAAAUGUAAUGCACUUGAAUCAUCCUGAAACCAUCCCUGCCACCCUCAGUCUGUGGAAACUUACAUUUUGGUCCCUGGUGUCAAAAAGGUGGGGAACCAGUGCUCUAUAGGAUACCCAACAGGAGAAACAUGUAUUUCUUCUUAGGGAGACUCCACAGUACCCCUCAACUGUCCACCUUCCAGGCCAUGUCCUCUACUGGGAAUAUGAACCUAGGAAACCAGUAGAGUAGGCAGAGGAGACCCAUGAUAGCACACCCAGCACAGGCCCAGUCCUCACAGCCUCCCACCUUAACUCUUCCAUCAGAAGACUGGAGUGGGGAAGUCCUAGGCACCAGCCCCAUGGUCCAGCAACCCUGACGAUAGCACCUAGCUUUAGAGACAGCCAGAUCUGCCUACAGAUAUUGGCCAUCUGCCUCUUAGUAGCUAUGAAACCUGAAGUUUAAGCCAACUCUCUAACCUCUCUUGGCCUUAUUUCUCCAUUUGGAUAAUGGGAUAAUGAUUCUUACCUCAAGCCAGGCGGAGUGGCUCACACCUGUAAUCCCAGCACUUUAGGAGGCCCAGGCUGGUGGAUCACUUGAAGCCAGGAGUUCAAGACCAGCCUGGGCAACAUGGUGAAACCCCACCUCUACUACAAAGACAAAAAAUUCCCCUGGCGUGGUGGUGGGCACCUGUAGUCCCAGCUACUUGGGAGGCUGAGGCACAAGGAUCACUUGAACCUGGGAGGCAGAGGUUGCAGUGAGCCAAGAUUGUGCUGCUACACUCCAGCCUGGGCGACAGAAUGAGACUUUGUCUCAAAAAAAUAAAAAAUGGGGCCAGGCCUGGUGGCUCAUGCCUGUAAUCCCAGCACUUUGGGAGGCCGAGGCGGAUGGAUCACUUGAGGUCAGGAGUUCCAGACCUGCCUGACCAACAUAGUGAAACCCCGUCUCUUCUGAAACUAUGAAAAUUAGCAGGGCAUGGUGGGGCACACCUGUAAUCCCAGCUACUCAGGAGGCUGAGGCACAAGAAUCACUUGAACCUGGGAGACAGAGGUUGCAGUUAGCCAACAUCGCACCACUGCACUCCAGCCUGUGCAACAGAGUGAGACUCUCUCUCAAAAAAAGAAAAAAUGGAAAUAAAUCAUAACGCAACCAUCCAUAAAUAAACACUGUUAAUAAUUUGUUGUGUUUCUUUCUAGUCUUUAUACUGUAUGUGUUUGUUUUAUAUACAUUAUGGUUUUUGAGACAUCUAAAGUAUAAUUAUUAAAUCUGUGGGCUUUGGAGUCCUGGUUCUACCAUUACUUUAUAUAUAUUAUCACUCUUGGCUAUAAGUCUGUAUACUAAAGAAAAAGUAUAUACAUAUAAUACUUACACACACACACACACACACACACAUAGUCAUGUUUAACCCUGAAGAUAACCAUUUAAAGCAAGUGCUACCCUUGGUUUCACUGAUGAGGAAACAGAAGCAGGAAGAGCUUGGGUGAUUUUCCCCAAGUCUCCAACCGGAAAAUUGUAGAGACUGAGUGGCUCUACUGGCUGUGGUACUCUGCUCUCACACCAGCUUGUUGGUCAGCCAAGCACUAGAUCCAUUUAAAGUCAAUAAAGAAGGAAGUGUUCUCAUACCCAUUUUACAGACGAAGAUUGAGGCAACCAAGGUUACAAGAGUCAGGAUGAACCUCCCACUUUAAGAGUGAAUUCUUCAAGGACUUUGCAAGUGACGAUAUCAUCACUAAACUUCAACUAACAUAAAUGUGUCACUCCUUCAGCGGGUCUGUUUCAUCUGUUUGCCUGUUCUCCAACGUUACUGCUCCUACCUCCUCCCUCCCUCCUCCUCCGCCAAGGAGGAGCAAAGCACCAGGAAAGGGGAAAAGGUGGAGAGCACUCAGAUGGCUCCUCUGCCUCACCUGCCCUCUGGCUCUCUUUCCUCCUGCCUUGGCCCUCACAGAUUGGCAAGCUCAAGCUUCCUGCUGGCUCUGGACUGUGGCUGGCUAUAGGAGGGGAACGAAACCAGCCAGGGCUCCCACCCCACGUUGCCUGGCCCUAGAAGGAAAAGCCAGGUCUGCUAGCUGUCUGUGGUUGAGAAAAGAGCAGAAACACCAGAUACUGAGGUCUUGGCCAUCUAAAGGUGUGUUUCCUCCUCUAUAAGAUGAGAUCCCCCCCACUCCCUGCAGCAGCCUGCAUAAGAGUUAGACAAGAAGACCCCAAAAGCAUCAGUUUCCUCUGCCUCCCCAGGGCUGGGUGUCCUCACUGCCUUCCUGGGCCUCUCUAGUCCAUUGGAGACAGUUCUUGCUUGAAAAGCAUCCACCUAUGUGUAGCUUCCACUCAUUGCCCCCUCUUCAGUACCACUAAGCCCAUUUGCUUUUCCAUGUAGACACUUCACAUGUAUUUGUCCUGCUCUUCCAGCUACAUUUCCCUCUGUUCUUCACCUCACCUUCCUGCAGCUAUUUUCCAGGCCCUCUUUAUAGCAGAACCACAUGCCCAGGUCUAAGCCCUGGUGCCACCACUUACUAACUGUAUAAGCAUGGGCAAAUUACUGAACCCUACUGAGUCUGUUUCCACCUCUGUAAAAUGGGCCUGCUAAUAAGAAAUUACCUCAUAGGGUUAGUAUGAGAGCUAUCUCAAUACACCCUAAGCAGUAAUGAGCAUGAAUUAUCAUCUUAGAACUCUUUGCUGAAGGCAAAAGCUUCUGCCUCCUUGUUGUUUCAUUUGCAUUUCUUUGAUUGCCAGAGAGAUUGAACUUCUUUUCAGUUAUUAGUCAUUUGUAUUUCCUUCUUUAAUGAAUUGUC
rnacentral:lncRNA from 1 species